rnacentral:rRNA from 1 species
CGCAGGUACUGCGCGUACCGGUGUGCAGCCGGUAGGACGCCGGCAGGGGCAGCGGGGGUAGCUGGAUGUUCCUGUGGGUACGGGACCAACUUGGGAUCGACGGGAGGUCUAGGGGGAGAGAAACGGGGAGAGGGUGUGCGGGCUGGAGCAGCCGCGACGGCAGCGGUAUGGCGGCGGCAUCCGCGCCGGUGAUCGGAGGGUCGUGGUAGCCUCUUACGGGUCCUCGAGGUGGUCGUACGGGACGAAGGGGAUGCGCCUAGUUGAGCUCGAGCCUCGUUGGUGGAGCUGGCCUAGCUGCGGAAGAAGAAGGAGCCAGCAGCGGCGACGAGAAGUAGCUAGGCAGCGGAGACGUCGAGGAUUCGGUGGUUGCCCGGAGGCACACGGAGGCGCUGAUGCUCCGACUACGACGACGACCAUGGGGCUAGCUGAUGCCACAACUGCGGGGGAGGAAGAACA